UUAUUGUUUUGAACCCUGAUUACAAGUCACAUGACCAAGAACAAUUAAAAAAGGAGAUUCAGGAUCAUGCAAAAAGAAGUACAGCACCUUACAAAUACCCAAGAAAGGUAGAAUUUAUUCAAGAGCUGCCAAAGACUAUUAGUGGGAAGAUAAAAAGAAAUGAACAGAAGAAAAAAGAAUGGAAAACAAUUUAAAUUCAUCCCAUUAUCAUAGUACAUAUGAAAUAAACACAGAGGCUGAAUUUGAAAUAAAAAAAUUCAAUAGAUUCCUAUGCACCAGUGUCAAUGUUCCUAUAAUUUGGCAUCACAAAAUAAAUGUCAUCAGUUGCUCAGGAA